rnacentral:lncRNA from 1 species
UGUGAGUUCAACGUUGCGUGCGGCUACGCGGGGAGAAGGUGAACAUCCCACUCGCCUACCUUGGCGCUGUUUGAAACCGAGAGCCGGGCGCCCCCACGGCGCAGCUCCAGGACGCACUGCUGCUCCCCCUUACCUCGUUCAAAAUAACUCAUAUUUUUCUCCGUUGUCGAGCACCGAUUCUGGGGAGAACUCACGAGCGCGCUUCCAAAGGGAAUCCACUCACUUUUUGGCCACUCCUUGCAGGCUGCGAUCCCAUCCCACGCGCGCUUUCAAAGAGUAAGUGUAACACAGUCGGUGUGGCUGAAGUAGCUUAGUUGGGAGAUCGUUCAACUGGAAGAUUCAAAGGUCCCUGGAUCCAUCCCGGGUUUCGGCAACAAUAACUUUCAUUUCGGGGUUGGGCUAGACGAAUCUCGGGUAUAUUUUCCAGCUCCAGAGUUCUAUUAUUCCUCCGAGUCGCUCCACCUGCAGGUUAGUUCCCUGAGGAUUGUAAGAGUUUCCACAGGGCAAUCCUAGGCGUGUUUACUCGGAAGUAAGAGUCACGUUUGAGGCCAAUGGGGCGUGUCCCCAACCAGGUACUUGUGUUUUAGGACUGCGGCAGUCAAGUGUAUUCCAUGCGUACUGGGCAUGUAAGCCCCUUCUAAGUAAACAUGCGGCUCCUGGCAAUCUUAGGCGCGUCUAUUCAGAAGUAAGCCCCACUGAAGUCAAUAGGACUUUUGGCAAGGCAAAUCUGCAUAGGAUUGCUUUCUAACUUUUAGUUAAGGGAAAGUAUCUGUCCGUCCCGCCUUUUUUUUUGACCAGCGUUUGUUUUUAAAUCUUGUUCUUUUCAGUCUUUUUGAUAAAGCAGGCACUUCAUUCCCGCUGAGACCGCUCAAUAUUUUUAUCCCGAAUUAGAAACAAUCAGCGGAGCAUCUUGGAAACAGAUGAAUGAAGUUCUUGUUCCCUCUCUGGGCCUGGUUUUGAUCACAUGCACAUACCAAGCUUGGGAGGAGGAGGGCAACAUCAAGUUCCGGAAAAAACACUUGGUUCAGACCUAGCAUUCAGUGGGAAGUAGCAAUGUGCUUUGUCUUCUAAAGAAGGUGGAGAGAGUAGACUUUAAAAUAAAAAUAAAAUUAACCUGCCUCUAGCCAAUAAGCAAGUAUUUUUUAAAGUUUCCAAUAAGUAAUACUUAUUGUGUCCGACUCUUCGUGACCCCAUGGACCAGAGCACGCCAGGCACUCUUGUCUUCCACUGCCUCCCGCAGUUUGGUCAAACUCUUGCUGGUAGAUUCGAGAACACUGUCCAACCAUCUUGUCCUCUGUCAUCCCCUUCUCCUUGUGCCCUCAAUCUUUCCUAACAUCAGGGUCUUUUCCAGGGAGUCUUCUCUUCUCAUGAGGUGGCCAAAUAUUGGAGUCUCAGCUUCAGGAUCUGUCCUUCCAGUGAGCACUCAGGGCUGAUUUCCUUCAGAAUGGGUAGGUUUGAUCUUCUUGCAGUGCAUGGGACUCUCAAGAAUCUCCUCCAACACCAUAAUUCAAAAGCAUCAAUUCUUCGGCAAUCAGCCUUCUUUAUGGUCCAGCUCUCAUUUCCAUACAUCACUACAGGGAAAACCAUAGCUUUAACUGUACGGACCUUUGUUGGCAAGGUGAUGUCUCUACUAAGUAAUACUAGUAAGACUUAAUUAUGUCCUGUCAUGUCUGAGGCCACAUUCCAAAAUUAUAAUGGGAAAAAAUUGGCACCCAUCUGGCUUUUUGCAGUAGCAAUGUUUAUCUGGGCAAACAUCCUCUGUUAGGUUGACUUCCUGCUUCACCACAGUUAACCUGCUUUUAAUUUUUUAGUAUCUGUGUGAGUGCUAAUCUAUUCACCAGUCUUAAUCCUCUCUCUUUAUGACUUUUGAUGUAACUGCAUAUUGAUCACAGUGAAACUUAUUUCUGAGUAAAAUGCUAUAAGCAGUGCUAUUUUUCUAGAAAAAGAGAUACUGAAACUCACCUGGUUCUCUUAUAAUGGUGAUGGAGCCCACCUGAGAGGUGCUGGCUUGGGAGAGUGCAUCUUUGUUUGAGACUCUGCCCUGCCAUGUAGGCCCAAAACCUUCCUGAUUGCAGCACAUGUGGAAAGCAUUGAGGUGUCUCUCUGGCUUUUGUAAGUUGCCCACGACUCACUUCCUUAAAGCAGCAUGCUCAGCACGCAAGUCUGGAACCAUGUUGAUUGUAAUCAGUGCUGCCUGUGAGCAAUGCAAUGCAAUACACAAUUAUAAAAACAAUAAAGCUGUCACAAUAAAAAAACAAGUGGUUAUGCUUUGUGUGAAGCAUCCCAUAAACGUGUGUGUGUGUGUGUGUGUAAGAGAGAGAGAGAGAGGCAACACUAUGCAUUUCUAUGUUCAGCUAUAAAAUGGGGCAGAGAUUGACUUUUCUAAAAGCUUCAGCAUCGCCUUGCUAUGGACAGAUGCUUUUAAGCCUGGUAUCUUGCUUAUGUAUUUAUUAAAUUUGUAUUGUCAACCUUUUCAGACCCAGGACCCUCUUUCUGCAUUUCUUAACCUUUUAACAUCUAUUUGCAUGGUGGUUGUGCUGCUCUUACAGUCCCCCUUGGAUCAGGCCAUGCUCCCCACUUGUGGGUCCCAAUCCACCAGCUGAAGACUGCUCUAAGCCCUUUCCUCCAGCUCAGCACCAACACUGGAGGUGAGCCAGGCUGGAGGGGAACAACUUGAUGCAACUACAUGUGGCAAGGUGAGGGCCAUCAAAGGUUUCAAUUCCUCUUCUCCCACGUGGUCAUUUUCAUCAGAGAUGUUCACUCCCUGCUUUAUAGUGAAACAAGCAGAUAUAGGGCCUUUGCUUCAUGGCAGAGCCUCUGCUCUUGCAUGCAGAAGGCCCCAGAUUCAAUUCCUGGCAACUCCAGGUAGGGUCGGGAGAUAACUGUACUUGAAAGGGUUGGGGGAGCAUGUCUUUAAGAAAUAGGGUUUAUUUUACACCUGGGUGUAGAUGGAGGGAGUGCAGGGUUCACAUCUCAAGAGGGGCUUGUUUGCCACAGCAGUGCAGCAUCACAUUCCAAGACAUCUCUAUGCCUUUGUCUCAGCCUGCCUUCAGCCACCUCGCCGAGAUGGUUCUGCCCUUCAGCCCUUGCAGGGAGUUUUGCCAACUUCCUUUUCUGUUCCCAGAAGCAGCCCAAGCAACUCCUCCCCUUCUGUCUCCUAUUCCAAGCCUAGUUUUAAAAGGGCACAUUUUUUCCUGUGUGACAUCACACCUUCCCCUCUCCUAUCAUUGGCAACCCCUGUUUUGUACAGACCCAAGGUUCCUUUUUUUAAUGUGUAGAUGUCUGGCCAUUGUUUCAUAAUGCCUUGCAUCCAACCAGCCCUGCCAGGCUAGUUUGCAUAGGCUGAACCCAGAAAUUUCUGUGUUUGAUGUAGAACGGCAAUCGCGAGCAUGGUAACUUUUCCAUUUAGUUAAAACAAGUGGGACCUGCAACAAAGUGUUGAAGUGUGUGGAGUGAUCCUGUUCAGGGUGUCAGCCAGCCAUCAAUGCCUUCUUCCUGAAUGGUCCCAUUUCAUUUUGCUUCUCCCCUGGUUUUCUGUUUCCACUGCCCCCCUCCCCCCACUCAAAAAGUGAUUUAUGACAACAGAGUACACUUGGUCUUCAUUUAGCUGUUCGGGGUUUCCCUACCAUCAUUAGGUUUUCCCCUCCUUUCUAAAAACAGUUCUAUACUUCGGCAAAGCUUGGAUUCACACUAGGAUAGUUGAAUUUGCUAUUAGUAUACUGUAUAUGAUAUUUUUUUUAAAUGCAAUUUUACAGCACAGUCCAGUGUCGACGGAUAUGUAUAUCCUAUUCAGGGGUUUUUCUCCCAGAUAAGCGGGUUAGGACUGCAAGCUUACCUAAUUUCUGUCAUUUAUAUCUCUGGGUACUUUGAUGUAAUAGACACACUGCUGAAAAUGGAGGGGGGGGGGGAAUAGGAAAAAGUGGAAAUUCCCAGCAAGCUAGUAUAGUUUGCACAGGGUAACCUCUGAGCAAUUCCCAAAGAUAACUUGGGAAAAUCCCCACUGUGGUUACUUUGUGGCUUGGCAUCUUAAGUAAUUUGGAAGGCAGCCUGGAUACUGGUGACCUUGGUUAUGAGCUGUUGGCAUAAAAAGCUGUGUUAAAAAAAAUAAUGCAAUUUUUGUCGGUAUGUCCACACAUUGAAAAGAACUGGAAAGUGAAAGUAAAGUCCUCUGCCACCCCCUUGUCAUUUCAUUCUUAUGACAUUUCAAUGUUCCAUUGAUUUGUCGAAUGGGACUUACCAUCUUCCUCCUGACAGUGUGGGGUUGGACCUUAGUUUCUCAUCCGUGACUUUCAUCUCCCAGCCGUUUAUGAUGAUGGGGAGCUAAAAUGUGUCUGGUGGGUAGGAAGCAGGAGUUCGCAAUGAUGAUGCUCUAGUUCCAGUGGUAGUGGGCAGGGGAAGGUACAGUUGAACUGGAGUGGCAGACCACUAUCUUGGGUGGAGGCUUAGAUGUUUGGUCUCUGUUCUUUGUUUCAGCUGUCUCACUCCUCUAGAAGGUAGCUUACUGCUUGGGUAUGCUGAUGCCCCAAAGCUCCAUUUAUCCAUAACACUGGACUCAGGAGGCCUUGGUAAUGGUAAAUGUAAAGGACCCCUGGACGAUUAAGUCCAGUCAAAGGCGACAAUGGGGCUGCAGCGCUCAUCUCACCUUCAGGCCGAGGGAGCCAGCGUUUGUCCACAGACAGCUUUCCGGGUCAUGUGGCCAGCAUGACUAAACCGCUUCUGGCGCAAUGGAACACUGUGAUGGAAAUCAGAAUGCAUGGAAACAUUGUUUACCUUCCCACCAGAGUGGUAUCUAUUUAUCUACUUGCACUGGCAUGCUUUCGAACUGCUAGGUUGGUAGGAGCUGGGACAGAGCAAUGGGAGCUCACUCUGUUGUGGGGAUUCGAACCACUGAUCUUCUGAUUGGCAAGCUCAAGAGGCUCAGUGGUUUAGACCACAACGCCACCCACAUCCCUUGGACUGGUGCCUUGUACUGGUGCUUGAACGCAGCAGUGUGGUGGAUGAAGAAAAACCAGCUGAGCUUGAGCCCUGGCAAGACAAAGACACUCUGGGUAAAGAGUUCUCAUGUCUGAGAAAUUGGUCAAUUGCUUACCCUGGAUGGGGUUGCAUUCCCCAUAAAGGACCAGCUUUAUAGCCUGGGCGUGCUGCUGGAUACAGCCUUGUCCUUGGAGGCCCAGGUGGCCUCAACAGUCAGAAGCACCUUCUACCAUCUUUGACAGCUACAGCAGCUAUGGCUAAUCCUAGACCAGGUGAGCUUGGCCAUGCAUUGGCUAUUUUCAAGAUUGGGUUACUGCAAUGCACUCUCUGCAAGGCUUGUCUUGCACUUGAUCCAGAAGCUUUAGUUAGCAUGGAGUGCUGCAGCAUGGUUGCUGACAGAAGUGGUAACCUGGUCAGCAUUUAACACAUCUUCUCAGAGACUUGCACUUAUUGCUGAUCUGCUACCAGGCCAAGUUCAUGGUGCUACUGUUAGUUAUGAUACCAGUGUGGUGUAGUAGUUGGAGUCAUAGAAUCGUAGACCUGGAAGGGACUCCAAGGGUCAUCCGGUUCCAUCCCCUGCAAUGUAGGAAUCUCAACUAAAGCAUCCAGGACAGAUGACCAUCCAACCUCUGCUUAAAAGCUUACAAGGAAGGAGCGUCACCAACCCCUUGAGGGAGUCCGUUCCACAGUCAAACAGCUCUUACUGCUAGAAGGUGUUUCCUGAUGUUUAGUCAGAAUCUCCUUUCUUGCAACUUGAAGCCAUUGGUUCAAGUCCUGCCCUCCAGAGCAGGAGAAAACAAGCUUGCUUCAUCUUCACCCUUAAGAUAGUUGAAGAUAGCUAUCAUAUCUCAUCUCAAACUCCUCUUUUCCAGGGUAAACGUACCCAGCUCCUUCAACCAUUCCUCAUAAGGCUUGGUUUCCAGAGCCUUGAUCAUCCUGGUCACCCUCCUCUGCACACAUUCCAGCUUGUAAAUAUCCUGUGGUGCCCAGAACUGGGCACAAUACUGGGCACAGUAACUGGGACAUGGGUGGUGCUGUAGUCUAAACCACUGAGCCUCUUGGGCUUGCCGAUCAGGUUGGUGGUUCAAAUCCCCGCAACGGGGUGAGCUCCUGUUGCUCUAUCCCAGCUCCUGCCAACCUAGCAGUUCGAAAGCACACCAGUGCAAGUAGAUAAAUAGGUACCGCUGUGGCGGGAAGGUAAAAGGUGUUUCUGUGAGCUUUGGCUUCUGUCAUGGUGUUCCAUUGUGCCAGAAGCGAUUUAGCAUAUCAAUAGCAAGCAGCAACUGAAGGGGGCUUCCAGACUUUUGCUGCUGAGGGGUGAGAUUCCACACCACAUACUGGCAAAUUCAGGUUACCCAGUUACAGUUGAGUAGGAGGUCAUGUGCAACAAACCCACUUCCCCAAAAGAUUGGUGUUUUUGCAAUAAGGAGAACAAAGGGGGAAAUGUACUAGAAAGUGUAGGAGACAAAACACUUGCUUUGAAACAGUGUCAUCCAACGCUUUCCUGCAAACAAAGCAGAAUGUGUGUUCCACAGAUUGUCUGGAAAAGCCCUGAGUGAGAGGAACAAAGAAUACCAUGUAUAGGAAGAGGAGCAAUGGCUCCUUCUUAAAGUGUUGCUGUUUGAGGCCUAUAAGCUGAAUGAAGUUUCCAUGGUUAGAGGAUUCUGUGACCAUGCACAUAUUUCAAACUGGGCAGAAGUCUUGGGAAAUCCCCUCGCUCCCCCACCACUCCAGCUAAGCAGGUUUUCAAUGGAAAGGAGGAAACAGUUCUGUAACAAUUGGAACUUUUAAGGAAACACUGCAUGAAUAACCUUAGAUUCUACAAACUUAACAGCUUUGGAUGGGGGGUGGGUGGGAGAGAAGCACCCCUUGCAUGAUGGAGCCACUUACAGUUAGCGAUAGUUUCAAUUAUAGGUAAAGGUAAAGGACCCCUGGACAGUUAAGUCCAAAAGCGACCAUGGGGUUGUGGCAUUAAUCUCGCUUCAGGCCAAGGAAGCCAGUGUUUGUCCACAGUGUGUUUCCGGGUCAUGUGGCCAGCAUGACUAAACCACUUCUGGCACAACGGGACACUGUGACAGAAGCCAGAGUGCACAGAAAUGACAUUUACCUUCGCACUACAGCAGUACCUAUUUAUCUACUUGCACUGGAGUGCUUUCGAACUGCUAGGUUGGCAGGAGCUGGGACAGAGCAACGGGAGCUCAUCCCGUUACAUGGAUUCGAAGCGCCAACCUUCCGAUCAGCAUGUCCAAGAGCCUUGGUGGUUUAGACCACAGCACCACCCGCGUCCCAAGUUUCAGUUAUACACUGUGUAGGCAGAAGUGAUUUACACUCUGCAAUGCUGCACCUUGUUUGUCCUCCAGUGAAGACAUACCCUAGACCAGUGGUUCCCAAUUGGUAGUCUGCAGACCCCUACCCAGGGGAUCAAUGGCACCAUUCACAUAACAAAAUAUACCAUAGAGAUAUCAACAUUUUCAAAAUUAGGGGGCCCAUGGCUUGGCUUUUGAAAAACAGGAGUUCCCCAGUGCUUAGCUUAAUGGGAACCACUGCCCCAAUUGGUAUAUGCCAACAGCAAGUUGAUUCUCUGUGUGAUUCUCCAAGUUUGGUCCAUGUGUUGCCCAAACAGCUCCAUCCACACACAAGGGAGGGUAUCUGUAUUCCUUGGGGAUCCCCAAGGUUAGGCUAACUAAAGUGCCAGUUCUCCAGAUCAAAAUGGUCUAGUGGAUAUAUAUUGGAUAAGGUGAUGUCACAAAUAAAAUGGUCCCAAGCUGUGACUAGAUGUUCUCUGGCCUGCCCUUAGUGGAUAGUCACUUGGUGGGUACCUGAGAUAGGGCCUUGUCUGUGGUGGCACCACAGCUAUCGAAUCCCCUUCCCAGUGAGAUCUGAGAAGCCUCAGGGCAGAGGUUACAGGAGUUUACAGUCUUUGAGAAAGGGGAAGAUGGAGGCCCAGGGUAAUAAAGGAAGAAUGCAUGGUGUUAGACUUCCUUAGCAAAAAUGUCAUAAACGUGACAAGCAGAACCAUUGCCAAACUGGAUUUCAUAAUUUCACAAAAGACUAUUUCUAAUGCGAGUAUUAGAUCUUGCUUUUUAGGAUGUUUCCUUUUUCCUGCUAAGCUCUUAUCUGUGAUGCUGACAUUACUGCUCCUUGGAUGAAGAAUGUGAGCUAAUUGCAAGAGUCAUCUGCUUAGUUCUUGAGGGCCACAGUGUGAGCUCUAAUAUUGCUUGUUGCUUGUUUUCCUGUAAUAAUAAUAAUAAUAAUAAUAAUAAUUUAUCAUUUAUACCCCACCCAUCUAGCUGGGUUUCCCCAGCCACUCUGUGCGGGUUCCAACAAAAUAUUAAAAUACAAUAGUCCUUCAGAUAUUAAAAGCUUCCCUAAACAGGGCUGCCUUCAGAUGUCUUCUAAAAGUCUGGUAGUUGUUUUUUCCUUUGACAUCUGGUGGGAGGGCGUUCCACAGGGCGGAUGCCACUACAGAGAAGGCCCUCUGCAUGGUUUCCUGUAACUUCUCUUCUUGCAGUGAGGGAAUCGCCAGAAGGCCCUCGACGCUGGACCUCAGUGUACGGGCAGAACGAUGGGGGUGGAGAUGCUCCUUCAGGUAUACUGGACUGAGGCCAUUUAGGGCUUUAAAGGUCAGCACCAACACUUUGAAUUGUGCUCGGAAAUGUACUGGGAGCCAGUGUAGGUCUUUCAAGACCAGCAUGUGGUCUCAGCGGCCGUUCCCAGUCACCAGUCUGGCUGCCGCAUUCUGGAUUAGUUGUAGUUUCCGGGUCACCUUCAAAGGUAGCCCCACAUAGAGCGCUUUGCAGUAGUCCGAGCGAGAUAACUAGAGCAUGCACCACUCUGGCGAGAUAGUCUGCGGGCAGGUAGGGUCUCAGUCUGCAUGGUAAACAGUUGCCCUGGACACAGAAUUGAUUUGUGCCUCCAUGGACAGCUGCGAGUCCAAAAUGACUCCUAGGCUGCACACCUGGUCCUUCAGGGGCACAGUUACCUCCUUCAGGACCAGGGAGUCUUCUACACCUGCCUACCUCCUGUCCCCCCAAAACAGUACUUCUGUCUUGUCAGGAUUCAACCUCAAUUUGUUAGCUGCCAUCCAUCCUCCAGCUGCCUCCAGACACUGUUUUACUUCUGAUAAUACAAAUGGACUUCCUUAACUUGUGUCAUGUUUUCAAGCAAACCUUCUGGAGUGAAAAUGGUGCUGGGGAGGGGGCAAAAUGGGUGUCAUGAACACAUCUGCCCCAAGUAGAUAAACACAGCAUGAGUCAGUAAGUCUUCUCCCCCUCUCUCUGACACAGAAUGGAAUGUUGAUAAGGAGUCGGCAGAGAAGCACAGGCAGACUUAGAAAGCAAGCGAAAUAGCAUUUCCUCAUUGGAAGCGGAGGCAAUUAAUCAUCUGAGCCCAAGGAGUUGUCGUAUGGGAAAGGUAUUAGACAAGAAACAAAGCCAGAAAUGUAAGGAUCAUAGGUUCAGGAUAUUCUGCAAAACCAGAAAGCAUUCUUCAGAAGGGUCAACUGAUUCAUAAGCCACUGAUGUUCGGUUAGACGUCCGAGGCUAAUUGUAUUGCAAUAUAUCUUCAAGCUAAUUACGACUUGCGUGCUGUGUUAUCAAGAUGACAGCCUGGGCUCCUGACAACGGGCUUCAAUUCCCCAAUUAUCCAUACCCUCUGACAUUUCUUGGAUGAAAAUAGGGACGUCCUAUUCCAUACGCGGGUGGCGCUGUGGGUUAAACCACAGGGCCUAGGACUUGCUGAUCAGAAGGUUGGCGGUUCGAAUCCCCGUGAUGGGGUGAGCUCCCGUUGCUCGGUCCCUGCUCCUGCCAACCUAGCAGUUCGAAAGCACAUCAAAGUGCAAGUAGAUAAAUAGGUACCACUCCGGUGGGAAGGUAAACGGCGUUUCUGUGUGCUGCUCUGGUUCGCCAGAAGCGGCUUAGUCAUGCUGGCCACAUGACCCGGAAGCUGUACGCCGGCUCCCUCGGCCAAUAAAGCGAGAUGAGCACCGCAACCCCAGAGUCAGCCACGACUGGACCUAAUGGUCAGGGGUCCCUUUACCUUUUAUUCCAUACUAAUAAUACCAAUAAUUUCAUUAUUUAUACUCUGCCCAUCUGAUUGGGUUGCCGCAGCCACUCUGGGCGGCUUCCAACAUAUAUAAAAACAUAAUAAAACAUUAAACAUUUUAAAAAACUUCCCAAUGCAGGGCUGCCUUCAGAUGUCCUCUAAAGGUUGUAUCGUUCCUUAUCUCCUUGGCUUGGGGGUUGCAUAACUCCAUACCAUCCAACAUUUCUCUGAUGAAAAUAGGGAUGUCCUGGGGAAAAAUGGGACAUUCCAGGAUCAAAUCAGAAACUAGGAUAGCUUCUAUAAAUCCAGGACUGUCCCUGGAAAAUAGGGACAUUUGGAGCAUCUGCUAUUCUCCUUAUCACUUGGUUACAAGGAAAUCUUUUAUAAAGGAGGGUUCCAUGAUGUAAGACCAGUGUGAGGAAACUGUACCAGCCGAAGAGUCACAUUCUUUUGUGGGGAACUUUCGGAAGGCCACAUGCCAGGUGGUGGGUGAGACCAGAGUCAAAAGUGGGUGGAGUAGUGGACAUGACUCUCAUCUUCAUAACAGUAGGCAGCAUUUUGGGUGCAUGUCAGAGAUUUCCACAUAAAAACAUGAAAACACACACUCUUCAUCCUCCACCCAGACAAGAACAUGGCAUUAUCCAAGUCCAGAGACACAUUUCAGCCAGGAAAAAGCACUUGAGAAGGGAGCACAGGAAAGCUGGUGUGGGGAGUGGCCUGGGGAGAGUCUUGAGGGCCUGGUAGAGAGGAUUGGAGGGCCACGUUCCCCACCCUUGAUGCAAAAGGACUUGAUGCAAAAGAUAUUGAGCUCUACAGUGGUUAAAUAAGGGUUCAGGUUAAAUUGGAAGUGUGUCUUUGUAAGCCAAAUAGAAGUGGCUCAGGAGGAUUUCCGAAGGGAGACAAGUGGCAUUAUUUAGUCAAAGAAUCAGGAUGUGAACAGCAGGCAGGCAGACGUUCGCUGCAGGGAAUCAGUGCUUCUCCCCCACCUAGGCAAACAGCCUCCUGCAGCAGACUUCCAAUUUCCUUUCUAUCUAUAUCUGCAAAUGAUAAUAGUGAAGGAGAAAGAGAGAAGAAAGCCAUUUUAAAAUCCACUGGUACAUUUGUUUGUGUGUGUGUACAGGAAACGUAAAAAACAUUCUGUUGUGUGCAAGAUUCUGCCUUUAACCCAGGAACACAGUUGUCAGAAAAGUAUAUAUGAAUGAGGAGGCGGUUUGUGUUCUUCGCAAUAGAUUUUUGUAUGUUUUGGUUGCCACCUUGUGGUAAAAUGCCAGCAUGACUUUCAUUUCUUUUGAAAGUGUAAGGUUGGCCAUCCAAGUCCAGCUAACCAAAGAAAUGGGAAUCAGGAUUUUUCUUUUGGGGGGGGGGAGGAGGAGAAUGCUUAAACAUGUUGCAUGUUUUAAAAGGUUGCAUUAGAAGUUGCUUAGCCCCGUGGUUAGAGCUUACGGCAAGUUCAGAUGAAGUAACUGUUCUGGCAACGAGCGAGGUAAGUGUAAAAUGAUUUGGGGAUUUUGGGGGCGGGGGGGAGAACAAACAAGCUGGCAUAUAUUUAUUUUUAAAGUUCCCAUAACAACUAGUAAUGAGAACUUUGAAGAAACAUUAUAGUCAAGAAAGAGAACAUAUUUCAGCCUAAGGACCAAAUUCGCUUGUGGGGAACUUUCGGAAGCUGCAUGCCAGAGGUGGGGCAGAUUCACAGGUGGACAGAGUAAUUUAUAUAACUCUUAAACUCAAACGGUAGAGCAUAAGACUCUUAAUCUCAGGGCUGUGGGUUUGAGUUCCAUGUUGAGUGAAGGAUUCCAGCAUCGCAGGGGGUUACACUAUAUUAUUCUCAUGGUCCCUUCCAACUUUAUGAUUCCAUGAUUCUCUGGUACAGUGAGCGAUGAGCCCCUUUAGACUGGUGUUUUGUCGCAGAUGCAUUCUGAAACAUGCUCCUGACACAUGUGGUAGAUUUAUUCUGCUUUAUUAGUUAUUCUGUGCUUCCCUAGUACCACCACAUUAUUGCUGUCUGAAGCACUAUAGUGCAAUUAUAGUGGGACAACCCCCCCCCCAACUCCUUGAUCACCUGUGGUAUGAAAAGUUACAAGUUUGAGCAGGAAGUUCCAGAAUAUGUUUGAUGUGCUGGUUCUGGUGUACAAAGCCCUAUACAGCUAUACCUAAAGAAUAAUCUUUACCUCUAUAUUCUCAGUUGAUCAUUGUGUUCUCCAAGAAAGGGCAUUCUUCAGAUCCACAUCUUUUCAGGAGGUCCAUCCUGCAUGAUGUCCGAAUCAGGGCUUUAGAGUGUGGCACCUACUUUUUAGUUACCGGUUCUGGGUGUUAAUAUGUCUGAACCCCCUCCCACCCCCCACUCAAAUUCCAUGUCAGGGAUCAUGAGGAAAGAGACUGAAAGCAAGACUGCCAACAAAAAGGUAAAGGUAAAGGACCCCUGGACAGUUAAGUCCAGUCAAAGGCGACUAUAGGGUUGCAGCACUCAUCUCACUUUUAGGCAGAGGGAGCCAGACAGCUUUCUGGGUCAUGUGGCCACAUUGACUAAACCGCUUCUGACGCAACAGGACUGAAGCCAGAGAGCAUGGAAACGCCAUUAACCUUCCCACCGCAGUGGUACCUAUUUAUCUACUUGCACUGGUGUGCUUUCAAACUGCUAGGUUGGCAGGAGCUGGGACAGAGCAACAGGAGCUCACUCCGUCACGGGGAUUCAAACCACUGACCUUCUGAUCAACAAGCCCAAGAGGCUCAGUGGUUUAGACCACAGUGCUACCUGCGUCCCUAAGACUACCAAUAAUGCUAUCAUACGAAUAUCUGGUGCAAGCACACUUGGAAUUCUGUGUAUCAUUCUGCAUGCCUCACCUUCAAAAAGAUUGCUGGAAAAGGGUCAGAAAAGGGCAACCUGAACUAUCAGGGUGAUGAAGCAACUUCCCCUCUAAGGUUAUAGGUCUUUUGAGCUUAGAGAUAAGAAAUAGUAAGUCGAUGUAUGAUAGAGACGUAGAAGAUUGAGCAUUGGUGUGCAGAAAGCGGAUAGAAGUUUUUCUUCUCUCAUAAUACUGGAACCCAGAGCCAUCCAGCGAAACUGAAUGUGGGGAGAUUCUCUAUAGACAAAAGGAGGCCCGUCUUCACACGCUGCACAGUUAAACCAUGGAAUGUGCUCCUACAACUUGAUGGUCACCAACUUUGAUGGCUGUUAAAGAGGAUUAGACAAAUUCAUGGAGGAUAAGGCUACCAGUAGCUAUGUCUUCUCAUGACAACUAUGUUAUACUUCCAGGACUAUUUGCCUCUGGCUAUCAGUUGCUGAGAAUCACAAGUGCAAGAGACGGCUGUUGCACUCAGGUAUCUGGUUGGCUGAAUCCUGAACUAGAUGGGUCUUUGGUCUGAUCCAUCAUGGCUAUCCUUACUUUUUUAUGUCCUCGCGACAAAGUGAUUCCCCCCUCACACUGUUGCUGCAUUUUGUGUAGAAUGAAUGUUAUGCUGUUGUCUUUGAAAUAUAAUUUGAAGAGCACUCCUACAGAGGCUCAGAUGAUGUACGUGUUACUGAGUGCCUGGGCAAACUUUUGAGGAUCAAGAGAGAACUGUUGUCGGCACUCCAUCUAGCCACAUGGUGUCACUGUAGUCACAAAUUCUCUGAUCUUGUUUUAAACCAGAUUUAUCUCUCAUUUAUGAUGACACUGUAUUAAUAGGAACUUGAAUGCAACAUCUUCAGUUGGUCUUAUCUCUCUUCGUAACCGUUUUAAGAAUAAAUUGGCCCCAUUUAAAGCAAUGCUCAACGCAUCUUUACUUUUGAAAACGGUUCAAGUGCUUGUCGAACCUCAGACUUCUCUGUUGCUGUUUUUAAUUCAUUGAUCUUCCUUAACUGUUUUUUCAAUCAGCAAUUAUUGUGGCGGCUCUUAAAGUGCUCAGAGUCUUGGAGCUGUUCAGAAGUUUCUUUUUACAGUUAGCGCUGCAAGAUUUGUGCUAAUCCAAGUUAAUGCCACUUUGGAAUGGUUAGGUGAUGCAUGUAUCAAUUUCAUAUUGGCUUAACGUGAGGAUUGAAGAUGAAAUUAAAUGGACAUACCUCCAAUCAUUCAAAUGCAACACUGAGAUGGAUGUUGAGACUCAGGCAGGGAGAGCUUUUUCUAGCCUUUUCUAGGCAAUCCUCCAGGGGUAGAAGAACUUCCAUCACUGCUUACCAUUGGCCAUACUGGCUGGGCUGAUGGGAAUUAGAGUGUCAGUGCAAAUGGCAGCUGGCUUAGGAUUUCACCACUAGCUUUUUGUUGCUCUGGUACAGCCUUCACCAGCCUGACACCCUCCAGAUGUUUUUGGACUACCAUGAGGUGUAGCCAGCACUGUGGUCUAAACCACUGAGCCUCUUGAGCUUGCUGAUCAGAAGGUCAGUGGUUUGAAUCCCUGUGAUGGAGUGAUCUCCCAUUGCUCUGUCCCAGCUGCUGCCAACCUAGCAGUUGGAAAGCCCACCAGUGCAAGUAGAUAAAUAGGUACCACUGUGGUGGGAAGGUAAACAGCGUUUCCGUGCGCUCUCAUUUCCGUCACGGUGUUCUGUUGUGCCAGAAGCGGUUUAGUCAUGCUGGCCACCUGACCCAGAAAGCUGUCUGUGGACAAACGCCGGCUCCCUCGGCCUGAAGGCAAGAUGAGUGCCGCAACUUCAUAGUCACCUUUGAUUGGACUUAACUGUCCAGGGGUCCUGUAUGGAGAGUAUCAGGUUAGUGAAGCCUAUUUUAGAAUCCCAUGCACAAAACUCCAUACCUUCUCGGCAGGUGUGCAUCAGCUAACUUACAGCCAUAAUUCUCAUGCAACCAACUUUGUGCAAGUCAGAUUCCCUGUAUGAUUGAUUACAGCAUUACAUUUGUGACUGUGAGAUAGAUAUUUUAUGUAAGUUUUAAAAUUCAUUUUAAAUUAUAUAACAGGAUCACUCUCUGAGCACCAGAAUCUUUCUGCUUAGAAGCCAUAUUUUAGUCAAGAUUUGUGAGAUUUUUCUUCCCUUCUUUAUCCAAGCUCUCAGUAGAACAGGAAAACCUCUGACACAUUGCUGCGUUUGCUCUUACUGUUCUAAAUUUAUAAUUGGUUGCACGUUUCCUUUUCUUAAUGAAAUCAAUCACACCAAAUAGAGCUGCUAUGUUUGAAAGAAAGAAAAAAGCAUCUGAGAACAGCAUUUCCUAAGCUGAUAUGUUUUCUGACUGUGGCUAUUAUUAUAAUAUUAAUUACUAUUAUUAAUCACUUUCCAUGAGGCAUCCUGAAGUGAUUAAUGCCUGGAUAGCCCAGUUGGCUAGAGUGUGGUCCUGGUAACAAUCCCUGUAUGGGACAGCUGCAUAUUCCUGCAUUGCAGGGGGUUGGACUAGAUGACCCUCAGGGUCCCUUCCAACUCUAUAUUUCUAUGAUAAUGAUUCUAUGAUUUACAAUAUAGUAAAAAUAUAUAUAAAACAGACAAGGUGGUUUUCUAUACUAUUUUCCUUACUUCUUCUUCAGCCACUCCAUUCCAUUCCCCAUGGUUUCCAUAGCCAUCAAGCACACUCAGUAUUUGACUGGACUAUUUGUGGGGACUGGGGGAGGGACUUAGGCUUUCUUCUAGUUUUUUUUAAAAAAUUUUUUUGCUGUGAUAUUAUCCUGAGCCUUCUGAUCCCUCCCUCUGAUAUAUAGCUGCUGGCGUUUUGGCUAGCUAUGCAACAGCACUCAAAGGAUUGAGUUGAAAUUAGAAUAUAUUAUGAUGGUUCUGUUACCAAAUUCAUAAUGUGGUGAAUUCCUGUAAAUGUAUAUUAUAGCUGAGGAAUUCUCUGUAUAACAUAGGAAGCCUGUAGUACACGAUCAUAUCUCUGCAUUAGGGCCACUUUAUUCCUUUGAGAAACAAGACUGUUUGGAGAAAACAGGACUCAUUGAGUCUUUUGUCAGAUUUUCAUUGUACUUUUCAAAAAUUACAUUUCCUUGCUCUGUGAUUUACAAUACUAACAUCCUCUGUAUUGACAUAAAAUAUUGACUGAGGUUGGCAAUGCACAUAUUGUUCCAGAGUUUGAGAUGAAGUAUUUUGUAUCCCACUUUCAAUUUCUUCGCCUCCAGCUUUAUGGAUUGUAAUUAAUUUGAGCUUUGGGCAGUGGCAGAGGAGGAGGAGUGUGGGGGAAGCGUACCGCCCCUGGCAGCAUGAUCCCGGUGAGGUGCCAUCGCGGCUCCCCCCCACCUGUGAUGGGUGCCACACCCCCAGGCGGCGUGCCACACCCAUACGGGUGGCGCACUACACCCCCAGGACAUGUGCCAGCCCUGCCCCCUCCUGCUCUUCGCCCCCCAGUGCUGGAACAUGAAGCUCUGCCACUGGCUUUGGAUAGUAUGGAUAUGUACAGUGGUACCUUGGGUUACAUACACUUCAGGUUACAGAUUCCGCUAACCCAGAAAUAGUGCUUCAGGUUAAGAACUUUGCUUCAGGAUGAGAACAGAAAUCGUGCUCCAGCGGCGCGGCAGCAGCAGGAGGCCUCAUUAGCUAAAGUGGUGGUUCAGGUUAAGAACAGUUUCAGGUUAAGAACAGACCUCCAGAACGAAUUAAGUUCUUAACCUGAGGUACCACUGUACUUCAUACAUACAUACAUACACAAUUUUAUUUGUAUGAUGACUUUUCACAGUUUGAACCAUGCUCAAGGCGGCUUACAACAUGAAAGAAAUACAUAACUACAACAUAGCAAAGAGAGCCAUAAACAAUAAAUAAAACAUUAAAAAAUUACAUAAUCAAACUGAAUCAUUUCCACAUAAAUCACAAGAUUUUUUUUUAAAAAACAGCAACAACCACAUCCCCCAACAAAACCCCCCAAAUAACACCCCAGCCCAAUAUUAUGUUCAGCAGCCUCAGCUUUUGCAGUUGGAGUCAGUCCGGGCCAGGUGGGAAAAGGUCUUCAAGGCAGGGAGCAGGUCUUUCAGAACUCACAGCCAAGGGGGCCUGCACUAUUGCUGCAUUAGCCCUUGUAGAUCCACUUUAGCUCUGGAAGUGCUACAACAUAUUAGAGGUAUAAAAAAGAUAUUAUGGCACUAUAAAGCACCUCUGAUUUAUGACCAGUGGAUGUAGCUUUGUCUUAUUACUUUGGACUUGUCUCUUGCCAUUGUUUCUUGGAAGUCUAGCAAAAUUUAUGGGUGGAAGUCCCCCUCGCUUUCAUAAUUUCUGUGCCCCUUUCACGUUUUUGUGCUUGCGUUUUAAAUCCGUUAGUUCCUUAUUCUGUCAAAGGUGCAGUUUUCGUUUGCAGCUACAACAUUUCAUCCGACAUGGGUCAGCUCCAGCGAUGUGCAUCGACCCUCCUGUUUCAGGCGUAUGUGCAGCUCGCUUGCAUCUGAAGUGAAGCAGCAAUGUGGCUAAGAGAGGGAAGGUGCCAGGAUGAGGUUGCUUGGAUGCUCUGAAGGGGCAAAGCCUAGUUAACCCUGAGGGAGAUAUGGACUAGCUCAUAAAUAAUGACAAGGCCCACAGCUCUAUUUCUGGAAUACCGGUAGGUUGAAUUGCCCAAUUUGCAAAAGGGGCUAGUGGAGCAGGAUCCUUCUUGCUCUCUGGAAUGUAUCAAAGGCUCAGCUCCAAUGGUAAAUAAAGCCCCCUUCCAAGCUCAAUUUAUUAUGAUUGCAGUGGUCUUGGUCCUUGGAUUUAGGCACUGGUAGUGGUGGCUGUAAUGCCAAUGGAGGUACAGUGGUACCUCGGAUUACAUACGCUUCAAGUUACAUACGCUUCAGGUUACAGACUCCGCUACCCAGAAAUAGUACCUCAGGUUAAGAACUUUGCUUCAGGAUGAGAACAGAAAUCGUGCUCUGGCAGCGUGGCGGCAGCAGGAGGCCCCAUUAGCUAAAGUGGUGCUUCAGGUCAAGAAGAGUUUCAGGUUAAGAACGGCCCUCUGGAACGAAUUAAGUACUUAACCUGAGGUACGACUGUGGACGUGUGAUUUGCUGUUGCAGUAUUGCACCAGUGUGAGGCAUAGGAGCCAACUCCUAGGGGCGAGGGGGAUUCGGCCUCCACAAUAAAAUAUUUGACAGCCCCCCACAAAGUUGAAGGGCAUUGCCAUUCAAAUGGUGUGCGUGCACUGGGUCACACAAUCAGUUAAGUGGGGUGGGGCUUACCUGCCCCCGAAAUAUUUUAUUCAAGUUGGUACCCCUGAUGUGAGGAGACGCAAGUUUGGAUUUUUUUUAAAAAAACUGGUGAAUAUAUCCACUUCAGAGGGAUGAUGUUUUGGGGACGUGGUCAAAGAGCACAGUGCAAAAUGCUUAACCUUCCUCCUGCUUGUCGAUCCGCACAUCCCAUGACUGUUUGCAACAGUACAAAAUCCUAGUUCUGCCAACAGGAGGCUCCUCCUUUAUUCAGCACUCAUCCUCAUUUGCACAAAGGUGAGAAGGUGGUCUUUAUGUUUGGCCUUUAUUGAGCAUUCAUUCUGGUUUGUUUACAGGGAAGUUACACGACAGUGAGCAUUCAUCUUGCAUUCAUCCUAAUUGCUUGCAGGAUGUUUACACAUCUUCCCAUGAAUCAUUUGCUCACCCCACACGUUUCAGUCCAUUUUCCUUUCACUUUCCUAAUUCCAAAAGUUUUUUUGCUUUUGUUAAAAAAUCGCUUUUUUAACAAAACACAGCAACAAAGCACAAUAAUCCGCUUUAAUUGUGCAAAACCUAAAGUUCUGAUAUGUCGCUUCUGUAACUUUUCUACAGACAUUCAUCUAUUAUUUCUGCAUGGUUUUUUACUGUUCUCUUUCAUGCCUCCUCACAAAUAUUUGCCCCUUUUUCAUUAUCUCCCUUCCCAGUAUUUGCUGGACUUUACUGGCUGUUGUUUGUUCAGCUGCUCUUGCUCAGAACCAUUUCUCAUUUCUCUUUGUAUUUAAUGUCAACAUUUGUGACACUUCUUUGUACAUUGCUAUGACUCAUGCCUCAUUUGGCUUCUCGUUCAUCUGCAAAUGACUGCAGGAUCUGUCCCUGCAGAGUUUUGCUAGGUUCGGGAAGAGAACACAUGGUCAUCUAAUGAAUGUAUGCUGUCUUGUUUUAACUGGUAAGCACAAGGAAGCAAAUUUGUUCAGUGCAUUAUGCAGUACCGUUCUCUGGUUCAGGCUAAUUUUGCUUCAUUGGCUGGAGGAUGCUGUUUGAUCAGUGUCAUGGGAAACUGCCUUAUACGGAGUCAGAUCACCAUAUUACUGUCUACACUGAUUGGCAGCAGCUCUCUGGGAUUUCAGACAUCCAGGGAAUGUUGUUGCCAGGGAAUGAAUCUAGGAUCUUCUGCAUGCAAAGCCGAUGCUCCACUACUGAGCUCCCUUUAAUAAGUAGAGAGAAAGCAAACAGCAAGUUAUGCACUUACUCUGUGCCUGAUGCCUGGCACAGACUCUGCAAAUAUUAAUAUUGUGCAGUUUGAAGUGACUGGAUACAUGAAAACUGAGUCCUUUUUGGAAAUAAAACAUUGUCAAGGCCCAUACGUUUAAUUAAAACUUUACUUGCAUGAUUUUCUUCAGAAACAGAACAAAAACAUCAAAUGAUACAUCCAGACAGUUCCAUAAGACAUAUGCCAGUCCAAGGAAUACACUCAGUAUCUUACAAAAUAUGAAAUAAUCCAAAUAGAUCUAUAAGCAAAGGCCUCUCUCCUUACAGUAUCCAUUUUGCUUGGAGCUGUUUUCCUGGAGAGCUUCAUUUACAUCCUUCCUCUCAAAGAGCCUGGGAACAAAGUCUAAAGGCAACUCCCUUCAAAAUGGCAAUUUGCAAUUUAAUAGCCUCCCAUGUGAUCUAAGGUUAAGCACUCACGUUAGCUGGCAGAAAACAACAAAAGUUAAUUAUCAACCUAUUUAGGAGCUCAGAGACAACUUCUUGCUUUUAAUUUAGCUUCAGUGGACUCAUCCAAGGCUCAUCCAGCAUAAUUUAAAUUGGUAUAAUUUACACCAGUGAAAAUCCCCCAAAAGGGGCGUUGCAGGGGUAGGACAGGGCAAAGAAAGACUUAUACCUGUUCCAACACCCCUUUACAUUGAUCACAUGCCCUAGCAACCCAGAAGAAAAAGGCUGGCAAAAGGACGAUCGAAGUUCCUCCAAGUUCCUCCUGAAUGGAGUUUGGAACAGGGGUAAUUUAUGCCAGGAUAAGUCCCAAGCUUUCUAUAGUUAGGAUUGCUCUGUCAACCAGGUGUACAUCCUUAUUGGUUUGCCAAUAGUUUUCCUUUUUAGGUUAGGGGAUGGGGAACUUGCGGCUGGACUCAGGUUCCUCAGGUUCUAAACCCGUGUCCUCAUGGGAUGCAUUAGGAUUCCUUGCUACAGGUGCUGAUUUUUAGGUGUACUUCUGUCUGGGUGCCUGAGUGAAUGAGGGAAAGGGAGAAGGAGGCAUGCAUCUUGCUACGAUGGUACGGAAUUAAUCCUGCAGAUGCAACCUGCGAUUUCUCCACCCCUCCUCCUGUGCCCUGGGGCUCACCUCCAAAAACAUCCCUUGCUGUCCUGCUUUUCAUAGCAGCCGCCAAGGCUUUGAGACAUCAGCACAUUCAGUUCUGAUUUUACUAAUGCUUCAUACACCAUUAACCUGCAAUGUCUGUUCAGAGACUUCAUUUUGAUAAACCUUGCUAAUUGUACAUUUUGCCAAGCAAGCUGUACAAAGCUAAAAGCUGACUAAAAGUUUUGCUUCUUGUGCAGAAUAAAAAAGAAGGAAACAAACUGGAGUCCUAAUGUAAGAUUUUUGUCAUCUCAUCUAGGCCAAUGCCAAAUCACUGUUGGUUCAAGCUCUGUUAAGAAGCAGAGACCAUCUUUCGGUAUUUCAUCUCUAUUAAAAAGGGGUUGCUAGUGCAAUGUUAUUCCCAUAGUUUACUCUCAGGGUCAAACUAGAGAUUAUACAAGGGCAUAUGAAACAUUAGCCUGACAGCUUCUUUUAAACAGAAUCCAUCAGUUCUGGAGUAUCAUUGGGGAUUUGAAAAGCACAAAGUGAUAUGAUUAUUUAACUGCUUUCCUCCCCCCCCCCACACCAAAUCACACCUCAGACAGCUUUUCCUCUUGUGAUCACCUGUUCGGAAGAGGUUUCUGUUGUUUCAGAAAGGUUGUAUGCGUCAGGAGGGAGGUCAGCAAUAGAUCACACAGAGUAAGUGAAGUUAACUCUUUAUUAGAAGAAACAAGGCUGCUCAGUAGUGCUAGGCCUAAUUGAGCACAGUAAUUCUUCCCAGCAGAUCUUGCCCCUAUGAGGCAGUUGUGAGGAUGGAAGGUCCCCGCCUUCCUACAGCACCCUAAGUCUCCUCCUCCCCUGGGUCCUUCCCAAGCAACCUGAGACUCUGCCAGCAUGCCUGACUCUACUCCUCCCUCUUCAUACCUCUUCUGGUUCUGAGAGACCAGGGGGGAGUGAAACUUGUCACAGCAGGAGGGGGAGACACUCUAGUUUCUUCACUGGCCUGACUUAUCUCUUCCUCUUGGUAUCCCUCCUCUCCUGCUUCUGCUUCUCUCUGUCACAGACUCCCCCUGCUCACUAGACCCUGUUACCUCUUCAGCUUCCAACACCUCCUCCCAAUCUUCUCUGUCUUCUCCUUCUGACCACUCAUUGUUGUCCCACCACCAAUCCCCAGGGUUUGAGCCUUCGUCCCUUAGGGGUUCCCCAGGUGGUACUUUCCACCACUCCUCUGUGCCCAGCCAGCCCAUGACAAUAGGAUAAUGCUACAUGCAUUGGCAUUAAGGAACUGACACACUCCUACCCAUUAAAAUAAAACUAAAACAACAACAACAACAAAACAACAACAACAACAAUUUAUUAUUAUUAUUUAUACCCUGCCUAUCUGGCUGGGCUUCCCCAGCCACUCUGGGUGGCUUUCAACAAAAUAUUAAAAUACAGUAAUGCAUCAAACAUUAAAAGCUUCCCUAAACAGGGCUGCCUUCAGAAAGUCAUGUUGACCCAGAUCUUAAGGAGCCAGUGUUACGUAGACAUCCGAAUUAGCCCUAAGUGUGCUAAGAAUAUAUACACUGAAUCCUGGCUCCAUUCUAUUCUGGAAAUUGCAUUGGUUGCUGUUGCUGCUGUGGUUCAGAUAUCAAUUCAAUUGGGCACUCAUGAGUCCUCAGCAUAGUAUGCAUCUUUUUUGUGCUGUUUCCUAAAAUCUGCCUGACAGCAGUAGAUGUCACUGUAGUCAACAAGAAACAUGCAAGAGAAGAAAAUAGAGUAGUGUGGUUAAAAACAAAGGUGGUAUUCAACUAGCUAGGUUAGGUCCAUCAAUUUCAAUGGGCUUGCUCUGAGUAAAACUUAGCUGAGCACCACACCAACAAUUUAACAUGAUUGCCCAGGGACCCAUGGAAUUUUUUUCUUUCUCCACACCAGUCACCCUCAGAUAGAAGGAGUUGUCUCUUGAGGAUUCAGAAUCUGUCACUGCAGGCAAUAUGCCUUUGAAAUAUAUUGACGAUUUGUGGAAAGGUGGCAUUUAGGGAAGAAGGAUCAUGUUACUAAUGCACAUGUCUUGUUGUUGUAUGAUUUAGGUGUCUUGUCAUUUCCUCGCCUCCACACACAUUUCCCAUGUGAAACAAGGCAAAUCCGAGUCUCUAAUUUGGUUUCCAACUCUGUUUUGCUUUUUUUUAAAAAAACAUUGAUUUAUUUAAUAACUGCAAGAAAGUAAUAAAGUGGAACACCAUCUAACAAAUAACUUUUGCUGAAAUCAUCUCAUCUCAUAUAAUUAUCAAAAUGAACUGGGCUGAAUGUCCCUCUAAACAAUCCAAAUAUGCUUGUUAAAAUUAGAUUCAAAACCUUCAGCCAGUUGAAAAUGGUAUUAAUGAUUAGAAAUAAGACUCACUACAUCAGUGCUAAAACAUGCUGGGCUGCCCCCAUUUCCAUGCAUUAGAAAUCCUCAGAUCAGGGCAGGAGGGUUUUCAGAGGCCAUGAGGAAUGUACCGUAUUUUUCACUCUAUAAGAUGCACCAGACCACAAGACGCACCUAGUUUUUGGAGGGGAAAACAAGAAAAAAAUAUCCUGAAUCUCAGAAGCCUGCAUUCGCUCCAUAUAAUGCACACACAUUUCCCCUUACUUUUUAGGAGGGAAAAAGUGAGUCUUAUAGAGCAAAAAAUAGGGUAUAUGUUUGUUAGAUUUGUGUUGCAAAUAUUGUCUGUUCUACAAUAUUGACAUUGUUAUGUGCAUUGUUUAGGGCUGCAUAUAGUUUUAUGAUUAGAGGCUGCUUUCCUUAAUUCAGUGCAUAUAGGCACAACCCCACAAAGCAACAAAUCAUCAACUGAAGUGUAUUAUGUCUCAAAACAAAGUAAGUGACAUUUAUAGCGAUGCUUGGGAAAGAGGGGGCCUAGAGUUUAUAAUACAGAGGGGUGAGUCAGAACGCAGACAACAAGCAUUCCUAUUAGGGUCAGUGCAUCUCGGAGACAAAUGUCUUCCAGCACUUAGCUCCAGCUUACAAUGUUGAUGGCCUGGAGUAGGAAGGGGGGGGGAAGGUCCAUGACCCACUUCAAGAAGAGUGCACUUGGAUUCAAUCUGCAGUGGCUUUUAUCAUGUUUGCAGGAGCAUGACAACCCCUUGGCUCACAAGGUCAACUUAGGGUGAACACAAGUCAGAUCAUUGGGGAACUUAUCCCAGUGCUACCAACUUUGAAUGGCAGCAGAUUUCCAGGUGGGUCUCAAACAGGACUUAUCCAUCACCUGAUCCUGGCAGAACGACAGAGAGGAGAAAGAGGAUCCCGGUGAAGCUGAGACUGGGACACAGACUGGCAAACUGGGAAUGGAGGAGGAAGUACUCACAUGGUGAUGGACGAUGGCAAAGGGGUGGAGGUCAAUACACAAGAAUCAAAGCAGCAGAACCCAUCACCAGAGUGGCCCCUCUCCCCACUAAUAUGGUGGGCUCUGAGGUGUAGGGAGCAGAGAGAGGGCUGCUCUAGGAGGUUGAGGCAGGCAAGAGCCCACAGCCUGGCCAAGUGAGGCUCGCUAGCUCUGGGAGAAGCUGUGUGACUCCUCAGCUGCAGCAGGCUUGGAACAGGUGAGGGUCACAUGCCUUGUCAAGCCCUGAUGCUGCAAUCAGCAUGGGAGUUGCAAUCCAGCAACAUCUGGAGGUCAUCAGGUUGGGCAUGGUUGCACUACAGGGGGUUGGGCUAGAUGACCCUUGGGGUCCCUUCCACUCCACAACUCUAUGAUUCUAUAGGAAACCACUGCCAUAGGAGGCACAUAGGGAAGGCAAGCCAACGAGGUGGCAAAAAGAUUCAGGCAGCUGCUCAUUCAGCUUUGAAUAUGGGCAACUGGUUGAUCAUCUGCUUUGUGGCUAAAGGGUGCCAGUAUCCAUUUCUGCACCACUUAACACGAUGGAGUCUUAUUUCAAAUAACAGACUGCAAGGAGGUCUUUAAAGUCGAAACUCCGGUUGCAGCGCUCAUUAUAUUCUGCUUUUGUUCCUCUCUAGAUUGCACGCUCAGAUGACAGAGGGAACAGGAGCUAUGGACACGCGAGGUACAUGCGAAGUUCAGCAGACUCAGCUGGCUUCCUUCUGUAACCUUCCCUAAUAGGAACAUAAAAGAAUCGUUGGCAUGUCUGGCAAAGAGAGAGAGAGAGAGAGCGCGCUAAAAAAGCAUCCCCCAAAGCUGAAAUGGUUUUCAUUCUUUUUCAAAUUACUUCUGACAUUAAACUUUGCCCUUGUUCAAGCUCAGGCUAACAACACAUCCAUCUUCCUGAAGUCUAAUAGUAUAGUUUGGAAGGAAUUCUGUAGUUCAAAAACACACACACCAAGGAUCACAAUUUAGAUAUGGUAAAGCUGUUGUGAGUGUGCAUACGCACACACAUACAAACAUAUUGUUGGAGCCCUUCAUUCUAAGAAUAAGACAGUGGUUCUGAUCCAAGGCUGACUCAUGUGGCAGUUGGGUCCAUGGUAGCUUGCAGAGCAUCCCUUGUUUGAAGCCAGGCAGCCGUUGCUGGCUGCUGCAAUUAUUAGGAUUUAGCUUUUGGACUGCCACUGAAACUGCAAAUUGCUGGGCGUGUGUGUGUGUGUGUGUGUGUGUGUGUGUGUGUGUUUGUUUGUAGUGGCAUGCAAAAAAGCUUAAGUUUCCAAGUGACAGCAACUUCACUCAACCAGCAGGGAGCCAGAAGGUGCAGACUUUCAAGUAAUUAUCUAUACACUGCUAUAAGCCCAGUGCCCAUGAGUUUGGCCUUGAAGCCAUUAUGGAUGAAAAGCCAUCAAACAAGCUGCAGUAAGUAACCUUUACAAUACACUGUCCAAAGUCAGAGUGCAAUAAGCUUUACUUAGGCAGACAUGAUUAUGAAUGCCACUGGAAUCAGACUAUUGAGAUUAAACGGCCUUGAAACCUCAAUUAGUCCCUUUGGAUUGAUGACAUCUAGGUGGGGAGAGAGGUGAAGAGGAACAAUUUUCAUAUCGUUUAGUCAGAUUUUUAUACAUAGUUAUUUCCCCUUUUAAUUUAUGCACAACCUUUUUUCAAAGACCAAGGGGGGUGUAAUAAUAAUAAUGGUCUAGUAUAGAUAUAACUGGAUGCACUUGUCUCUUUUUAACAGAAGCUUCCUCCUGUAAAAUUAGAUUUCUAAAGAAUUCAUUUUUUCAAACUGUUUAACUUGUCACCUUACUAAGACUGCAAUCUUAACCAUGUCUACUCAGAAGUAAUUUUAUUUGUGCUUUAGUGGGGUUACGUUUGCAGUCUACAUUCUUAAACAAAAGCAUUUGUUUGGGGAAGAAAUUGGUCUGUGGCCUUAUAGUCACAUUAUGUCUAAUUGUCAUACCACCCUACCUAGUAUUGGGAGUACGUUGGGCCAAAGUUGGGAGUAAGUAAGUCCAAAAGGUGAAAAGGCUGCUUAGUGUGCUGUCAGAGAAAAAUAAAUAUCCACUUGGAGACAGUGGUUACUCUAAGAAAGUGGAGGGGCUAGUCUGACUGGUUUGCUUGCUUUCCUCCUUUCUUGCAAUGCAGGUUUUACCUCUGCCAUCACAAUUAUAUUCACACCACCCAGUAAGAUGGGUUGUCAGGAAGGAUUACAUUAUCUAAGCUGAACAUGCCCCCCCCCCCAAUUCUAUGUAGUAUCUAACUUGUGUCUUAUUUGUGGUGUUUUAUUGUGACUUGGAGGUUAUGCAGCCAAGAGGAACUGGGAGCAGCUACAGUAUGACAUCACUGGCAUGAAUCCAAAAUCCUCCAUAAACACAAAAUGGAUAUAAAAUAUGUUGUUGAUGCAAGUGGGAUCCCUGACCAGAACCUUGUGUAGAGUAGAAGUGAAUUUGCUCUCCACCACAAUAAUGUUAAUUUUUUACUGGAAACAGUAUUAAAAUAGUUACAUAUAAAUGCCACAAAAUACAAAGUAACACAUUGCUCUUUAACAGCAGUCAAUGUGGUCCGGGUUUUUUUUUGUGCUCAACAACUUUCCUCUCUCUGCUCCCAGAGAGAGAUCUUCCUACUGAGAGAGUAAUCAGUGUGAGUGUAGUGGUUAAGAGCCAGUGGUUGAGAGGCAGUGUGGUGUAGUGGUUAAGAGCGGUAGUCACAUAAUCUGGGGAACCGGGUUCGCAUCUCCACUCCUCCACAUGCAGCUGCUGGGUGACCUUGGGCCAGUCACACUUCUUUGAAGUCUCUCAGCCCCCUCACCUCACAGAGUGUUUGUUGUGGGGGAGGAAGGGAAAGGAGAAUGUUAGCCGCUUUGAGACUCCUUAAAGGGAGUGAAAGGCGGGAUAUCAAAUCCAAACUCUUCUUCUUCUUCUUCUUCUUCUUCUUCUUCUUCUUCUUGGGUGUCCGGGAUGAGUCAUCUUGCCUUAUUGGCUAGAAACAAACCCCUCUUGCCUAAUGUAUGGUGUGAAUGUGGACCUCACCCAGUUAGGGGUGCUGUAAGAAUUCCAGCAGGGUUUCAAGUGCUUGUCGGCAGAAUUCAGGUGCUUUGAGUGGGACUUCCUGGCUUGAUUUAGUUCAUUCACCCUUGACUUUCUCUUAACCUAAAGCAGGGGAGGCUCUCUUUAGGGUCCUGGCUGGGCAGCAGUGCCACUGCGCUUUAUUCGUGAGUGGAGAUUUGAAACCAGAUUCUAACUAUAACACCUCCCUGACUUUCAACAACUCCAGGGUGUAUUUCAAUAUUCAGGGCCAUUUUGCUAUCAGACUUGCAACUCAAGGAGAGGGCAACAUUGGGCAGUUCCUCAACUCCCCCAAAUGAUGUACAAUCUCGUUCCCUCCCAAGAUUGCUGGCAUACAUGCAUACACCUGAACCGUUACACAGACUUGGGUAGGGCAGUAGCAAAAUGGUUGAGCAUCUUCUUUGAAUGCAGAAGUUCCUAGGCUCAAUUCCUGGCAUAGCCAAGCAAGGCUGGGAGAGACCCCUGUCUGACAUCCCAGAGGGCUGCUUGUGGACAAUAUUGAGCUAGAUUGACCAGUGGUCUGAGUCUGACUCAAUAUAAGGCAGCUCCCUAUGUUUCUGUGAACAAGUGCAUGCGUUUCCUGAACAUCCUUCUCCUAACAGCUCAUGUUUGCAGGAGAACUGGUCUCUUGAAAACCUCCUUAACCCUUUCUUUUCCACCUUGCUCAUUCCCUGCCCCCAGUGCUACUCCUGUAGAAGUGGUGGUUUCAGGAAUGAGAGCUUGUUCCACGUACUCCUUUUCUUACUGUCAAGAGCCUUCCAUUUCCCCCACCUAAGUGAUCUCAGCAGCUGCGGUAGCACUGCAGUGGAGUUGAGUAUUUUCCAUUCUGUCUCCUGUUGAAACAUUUCAAAUUGACAACUUGUUAAGCUGCUUCUGUGCUUGUUGAGAAACAAUUCCUCUGUGUAAAUUGGUUCACCCGAUAGCACUCUUUCACUUUCUGUAGUCUAAUGUAACAAGACCACAGGAAAGAGGCCUCUUCUGAAACAAGGAACAUCUAUCUAAGUAGCAGUUGUUUCAUAGGAAAUAGGAGAAAGCUAGUAAAAAGCUCUGGCAUUUAUGGUGGGGUGGGGGGCAGAAGAAGUUUAGUAUUUGAUUACGGAUGUGUAAAGCAGAUCACCUUGAUAGAUGAACAUUUAGUAAAUUGUCGAGAGUCCUUUCAGUGCAGCUGUUCUUUUUCUGUUGUGGAAGCGUCCUCAGUGAUUGGUGGGCAACAAGAGCACCUCACCUGAACAGAGAAUUCCCGUCAUGACCAGGGAGUGUAGGGCAUGGGGGAAAACCCACUGGAUUCCCCGUAAUGUCCUGGUGCAUGCCAGCCCUGCCCAUCCCACCCCUGACCUUUGCACAUUGAGCAGCAAGGACUGAGUGGUGAUUGGGAAUGAAUGCCUGAAAAGAAGGCACCUUUCAUCAUAUGUGGUGGUCGUGUAAAGUAAUAAAAGCAUUCUGUGAAAGAAUAUAGAAUGAAAUGAAAAAUAAAUGUUUAAAACUACUUAAAAACCAGAAGCUUUUUUUAUUAGGAUUUGUAGGUACCGAUAUUCCAAAGGAUCAGAAAAGACUUUUUAUGUAUGCAACAACAGCUGCGCGGAGUUACUAGCCCAGAGAUGGAAAGAAGAUAAAGUCCCGUCCAGAGAGGAAUGGCAAACCAAGCUGAUAGACUACGCUGAAAUGGCAAAACUGACCAGAAAGCUCAGGAACCAAGAAGACAAAACCUUUAAGAAAGAAAGGGGGGGGGGAUCAUAAUUUAUUUAGGAGACCACUGUAAGCAGAUGAAAACAUUAGCAGGGAUUUAAUAACACUUGUAAUGUAAAAAGUACUAUGGACAAUAUGGGCAGAUUUAAAAUAUGGAUUAUGAAAUAAUAUGCAGUUGAAAAUGUUGACAAUAAGACCCAAGGAAGGGAUGGACUCCUUUGGUAUUGUUAUAAUUCUACACAGGUGCCCAUGAGAAACCCAUCAGCAUUUUAGUGAGAAUUCCUCUUAAUAUACACAUGUUUGUAUGCAUUUUUUUUGCCUAAUACACAUGUUUAGCGAACAAUUUCCCCAUAUGUAAUUGAUUUUUGUAUGUUAUUUUCACUCAUAUAUAUGCAUGUUAGGCAUGCUUUAGGUGUGUUCUCUUGUGGUCUGUUAUUGUUUUGCCUGUCUUCCACUUUAGUUUAGAGAAUUUCUAAAAUUAACUUCACAAUUUGGCACAGUGUGUUCAGUGUGCCAUACAUGUCUUCCCUCCCCACUCAAUAGGUUACUGUAGCAUGUCAUGGGCACAACUGAUUUAAAACACACUAUGCAAAAAGGAAUCAUACCAGGAUUCCUUUUGGUGCUGUAUUUUUAUCAACUCACAUGGUAAAGUCCCAGGAAACGACAUUUCAAAAUUUCCCUUUGCAUGGUGUUUUCAUCCAUGUGUGUGUGCGCUUCUGUACACCCGUAAUCUAUAAGGAUGAAAGAGAGAAAGAUGUGAAGAGAAAACUGCAACAAACAGCACAUUCUGAUCCAAGUUCGUACAUCAGAACUGAAGCAUGGAAAACCUGAGCUCUGCAAACCUGAGUAAUAAUUUGGAAUAUCCAAAUCUUGAGAGAACUUCAGAUGGACAUAAUUUUAUAAGCCUCCCUAGUCCUGAGCUGAGCUGCUUAGGGCGGUGUAGGUGAGGCCAUAAAUUCAUAAAUACAAAUAAAUAUCUCCCAUAAUGUUAUCAUUAUCACCAAAGGUCAACUGUAUCUGCUGAACUAUCUCCUGCAGUUAUCUCAGCUAGCUCUUCAAUGGAAUGCCCUAUUGCUUUGCUCCUCUUGUAUUGAUACAAGGUUGAUGCAGUUUGAUUCACCCUUUUGUAUUAUUCUUGCUAGUGUAGCAGUUUUCUAUUGUGUUCUUCAGAUUUUCUUUUUGCAGCCUCCUUGAAAGCCAGGCUUCAAUAGAUUGAAAAAGUCUUGGUUCAAUUCCAUGAGCAAAAGGUAACUGCAAAACCCUGCCCCCCCAAAAAUAUGUUCUUUCCCCCAGCUCUGAUUUAAUAUUAUUUUCAUUACAAUAUUGAUCCUAUCCAUUGUGUUGUCUGUAACAUUAACAAGGGCACCAAGCCUGGCCAGGUUUCCUGCCAUUGUAAAAUGCUGACUUUAACUGAUGCUGUGCUGAAAGCCCCACAUUCUGCAAGCAGAAGAUGCAAACUAUACGAUGAGGAAUUUAUGGACACUUCUUAGGAUUUUCACAUAGUUGGUGCAUGGCGUGUGUGUCCCACAAUAAAUGCACAUUUGUUGUAUGUGGUGUUUGCUCCAGAUUGCACUGUUUUCCAGGAUGCUAUUGUCACUGAGAUAUUGCAUUUAUUACCCACAAUGCCAAGUACAGUAUUUCAUAGUUUGGGAAGUGUGUGUGUCUAAAGGUAAAGGUAAAGGGACCCCUGACCAUUAGGUCCAGUCGUGACCGACUCUGGGGUUGCGGCGCUCAUCUCGCUUUAUUGGCUAAGGGAGCCGGCGUACAGCUUCCGGGUCAUGUGGCCAGUAUGACUAAGCCGCUUCUGGCAAACCAGAGCAGCGCACGGAAAUGCCGUUUACCUUCCCGCCAGAGAAGCUUUGACGUGCUUUCAAACUGCUAGGUUGGCAGGAGCAGGGACCAAGCAACGGGAGCUCACCCCAUCGUGGGGAUUCGAACCGCCAACCUUCUGAUCAGCAAGUCUUAGGCUCUGUGGUUUAACCCACAGUGCCACCCUGCAUAUUUUUAACCAACUUGUUCCUUUUGUGAUUCCAGUGUGGAUUGUGGUUGUUCAAGGGUUAUAGACAGUGUACUGGAUACUUCCUCUGAUAUCUUCUUUCUAAGCUGCUCUACUGUCUCCUUUUAUUUUGUUAAGGUCUAGUGUUUUAAUUACAUUUAAAUGUGUUAUUUCUCCCUACUGCUGGGAAAAGCUGUGCUGUCGUGGUCGUCUAGCUGGCAAAGACCAACUUGCCCUUACUUGCUCUUGCCACUUCAUUGAUGUGCCCUUUUUGAACCUCUUGUGAGCAUGUUUGCUGGAGGCUGUGUACUCCUCCUAUCCUGCUGGGCUGGCCUGCAUCUCUCUGUGUGUUCUUCUUUUUAUAGGACAAACUGCAGCACAGUUAUUCCUGCACUAUAAGGUCCCAUGGACUGUAAGAAGAUCAAACCUAUCCAUUCUUAAGGAAAUCAGCCCUGAGUGCUCACUGGAAGGACAGAUCCUGAAGCUGAGGCUCCAAUACUUUGGCCACCUCAUGAGAAAAAAAGACUCACUGGAAAAGACCCUGAUGCUGGGAAAGAUGGAGGGCACAAGGAGAAGGGGACGACAGAGGAUGAGAUAGUUGGACAGUGUUCUCGAAGCUACCAGCAUGAGUUUGACCAAACUGCGGGAGGCAGUGGAAGACGGGAGUGCCUGGUGUGCUCUGGUCCAUGGGGUCACGAAGAGUCAGACACGACUAAACAACUAAACAACAACAAGAUACCACAUAUUAUGCCUCAGACUGUACACAUGUGAUUUAGCAGAUAUGGGCACCAGAUUGGGGCUUGGGGAAGUUGGUGCUCAAAAGGUGGCGCAUAAGCCAUAUCCACACUUUGCAUUCACAGCACUAUGAUACCACUUUAGCAAUGGCUCCCCCCCCCCAAAUUCUGGGAGCUUCAGUUUGUUAAGGGUACUGAGAGCUGUUAGGAGACCACUGUUUCCCUCCCAGACAGCUACAAUUCUCAGAGUGGUUUAAAAAUAAAUUUCUCUUCACAGGAAACUCUGUAGCUCUGCAGCUCCUAGAAUUUGUUUGGGGAAGCCAUGACUGCUUAAACUGGUAUCAUAGUUCUUUUAAUGUAUCGUGUGAAUGUGGCCACAGUCUGAACAUGAGUUUUUUGAAUAGUGGAUUAGGCCAAGAAUUGUUAAAAAAAAAAGUCACUGAUUCUUCAUCUGGUCAUAAUCUCAGUCAAGAUGGUCUGUGACCACAUUCAGACUCCAUGGCUUCAACAUUAGCCAAGUCCUCCCUGCUCAGUUUAUGAUCUAGCCUGAUGAAGAGUUCAGGGGAGCUCAAAAAUUUACACACUAUUUAUUAGACUUGUUAGUCAGUUGUUACUCAGAGGUCUCCAAGUGACUUGCAACACAUUUAAAAACAUAAACAUGAAUACAUUAUACCAUUAACAUAAUUCAUCCGGAACACCUGCAAUUCAUUAUAUGUGUGUAUGUGUUUGAUCUUUUGUGAUACUUUAGUUGGCCAUAAUAUGGAUUUUACUAUUAUUCUGAUGGGUCAACAAGGCUGCCUUUACUUUUUUGUAAUUUGGAUAAAUAUUUGAUCACUGGAAAUCUUACUCAGAUGCCUUUGAAUCAUGUAUACAUGGGGUGUUAGUAUGAGCUCAGAGCAGGAAGGGUGUGUUUAAUUGUACAUGUUGCCAUUUACUAUGCUUUAGGAAGCAGAGAACCCAAUGUUCUGAACUCUGUUUUUGAAUUAUUGUAAGAUUUUCCCCUGCUGUUUGUAAUGAAGUUCAAAAUGAGGUUUUCAAAGACAUGAGGUUUUCAAAGAAAAAAAUUAGAGUUUUGCUAACAACUGUUUCUGUCGUUGGAAGCUGCUAUUUCCUAACAGUGAUAAAUUACUCUAUCUGGUUGCUAGGUGCCCAUCAACCUUCAGGAAAACUAUACUCACUUCAAUCACGGAGUGAGUUUAAAUUUAGAAAAUACCAGCACGUUGGGGGG